UACGAAGGGGGCUAGCGUUGCUCGGAAUUACUGGGCGUAAAGCGUGCGUAGGUGGUGAGUUAAGUCUGUCGUGAAAGCCCCGGGCUCAACCUGGGAAUGGCGAUGGAUACUGGCUCGCUAGAGUGCGGUAGAGGAGAGUGGAAUUCCCGGUGUAGCAGUGAAAUGCGUAGAGAUCGGGAGGAACACCUGCGGCGAAGGCGGGUUGCUGGGCCGACACUGACGCUGAUGCGCGAAAGCCAGGGGAGCGAACGGG
rnacentral:rRNA from 1 species